AAUUUUGGACAAUGGGGGAAACCCUGAUCCCGCCAUCCCGCGUGUAUGAUGAAGGCCUUCGGGUUGUAAAGUAUUUCUGGCAGAGAAGAAAAGGUACCUCCAAAUACGAGGUACUGCUGACGGUAUCUGCAGAAUAAGCAUCGGCUAACUACGUGCCAGCAACCGCGGUAAUACGUAGGGUGCAAGCGUUAAUCGGAAUUACUGGGCGUAAAGCGUGUGUAGGCGGUUCGGAAAGAAAGAUGUGAAAGCCCAGGGCUCAACCUUGGAACUGCAUUUUUAACUGCCGAGCUAGAGUAUGUCAGAGGGGGGUAGAAUUCCACGUGUAGCAGUGAAAUGCGUAGAUAUGUGGAGGAAUACCGAUGGCGAAGGCAGCCCCCUGGAAUAAUACUGACGCUCAGACACGAAAGCGUGGGGAGCAAACAG
rnacentral:rRNA from 1 species